CUACCAUGCAGUCGAGCGAUUUACUUCGGUAAAGAGCGGCGGACGGGUGAGUAACGCGUGGGUAACCUGCCUCAUACACAUGGAUAACAUACCGAAAGGUAUGCUAAUACAGGAUAAUAUAAGAGAUUCACAUGGAUUUCUUAUCAAAGCUCCGGCGGUAUGAGAUGGACCCGCGUCUGAUUAGCUAGUUGGUAAGGUAAUGGCUUACCAAGGCGACGAUCAGUAGCCGACCUGAGAGGGUGAUCGGCCACAUUGGAACUGAGACACGGUCCAAACUCCUACGGGAGGCAGCAGUGGGGAAUAUUGCACAAUGGGCGAAAGCCUGAUGCAGCAACGCCGCGUGAGUGAUGAAGGCCUUCGGGUCGUAAAACUCUGUCCUCAAGGAAGAUAAUGACGGUACUUGAGGAGGAAGCCCCGGCUAACUACGUGCCAGCAGCCGCGGUAAUACGUAGGGGGCUAGCGUUAUCCGGAUUUACUGGGCGUAAAGGGUGCGUAGGUGGUUUUUUAAGUCAGGAGUGAAAGGCUACGGCUCAACCGUAGUAAGCUCUUGAAACUGGAAAACUUGAGUGCAGGAGAGGAAAGUGGAAUUCCUAGUGUAGCGGUGAAAUGCGUAGAUAUUAGGAGGAACACCAGUAGCGAAGGCGGCUUUCUGGACUGUAACUGACACUGAGGCACGAAAGCGUGGGGAGCAAACAGGAUUAGAUACCCUGGUAGUCCACGCCGUAACGAUGAGUACUAGUGUCGGGGGUUACCCCCCCUCGGUGCCGCAGCUAACGCAUUAAGUACUCCCGCCUGGGGGAGUACCCCUCCGCAAGGAGUGAAAC
rnacentral:rRNA from 1 species